GUAGUUGUAGCUUACCACUAAAGCAUAGCAUUGAAAAUGCUAAAACGAGCCCCGAACUCCAAAUACA
rnacentral:tRNA from 1 species